CACGUAGGGGGCAAGCGUUGUCCGGAUUUAUUGGGCGUAAAGGGUGUGUAGGUGGCGCCGUAAGUCGGGUGUGAAAUCUCGGGGCUUAACUCCGAAACUGCAUUCGAUACUGCGGUGCUUGAGGACUGGAGAGGGAGACUGGAAUUCAUGGUGUAGCAGUGAAAUGCGUAGAGAUCAUGAGGAAGACCAGUGGCGAAGGCGGGUCUCUGGACAGUUCCUGACACUGAGACACGAAGGCCAGGGGAGCAAACGGG
rnacentral:rRNA from 1 species